rnacentral:rRNA from 1 species
UACGAAGGGGGCUAGCGUUGCUCGGAAUUACUGGGCGUAAAGGGAGCGUAGGCGGAUAGUUUAGUCAGAGGUGAAAUCCCGGGGCUCAACCUCGGAACUGCCUUUGAUACUGGCUAUCUUGAGUAUGGGAGAGGUGUGUGGAACUCCGAGUGUAGAGGUGAAAUUCGUAGAUAUUAGGAAGAACACCAGUGGCGAAGGCGGCUCACUGGUCCGGUACUGACGCUGAGGUGCGAAAGCGUGGGGAGCAAACAGG